AUUUUCGUAAUUUUGACAUGAGAUGGGUACAAUCGUAAUUUUUAUGAUAUAUCGUGCUUAUAGGCUAUAUUAUUAUAUAGUAUGUUUUAUUCUGUCUAUCUGUAGGUAUUUUUUGACAAGCCCGGGCGGUAUAGUCACAACCGGGUAUUUUGGGUCGAACCGGAUUCGGGGCCUAAAAUAUAUUUUUCGGGAUUUAUUUAUAGCAUUAUAUUGAUAAAUUAGAAAUCUGAAUUUAUUGUAUUAUAUAUGAAUGUUUAGAAUGAUAACUUUGCCCUUGACUAUAUAUGGUGGUUAUAAUUGGCCCUGGCAGUAUUUUGGUCAUUUAACCACCUAAGUUAAUUUUCAACAGAAGCAAUUUUUGAAAAAGAGAAAAAUCAUUUUCUGGUUUCUCUAGUUCUAGUCGACCCACUCUCUCUCCCUUAAUCCCUUCAUUUUGAUUUCCAUGAUUUUGAAAGAAAAGCCUUUGAUUGGAGUGGAAUUUUGGGUGAUUUCUAGCUUGAAGCUUGUGGAGAUUGUGGAAUGUGUGACUAGGAAUACCAAUGCUUGCUCAGGAAGACCAGGAGGUUUUGAAUCUCCACAUACUUGGGAUACCAAGAAAGGGUAAAUCAAUUUGUGAUUAGCCAUGAGUUCGAGGGCUUGGCGGUGUAUUGUACAUGUUCGAGCCAUACUAGACCACGCAGGUUGGGUCUACCAAUGGAUGUAUUUUGUAUUCUUGGAUUUUGCCGUUUAGGUCGGCAUAUAAAAGUAACUUGUAAUGUUUUGCAAAGGCUUCUACGGGAUCCCAAAACGUUUGUAAUAUUUUGGAAUGGUUUGUAAAAUUUAAAUAGUUACAAGUUAUAUUUUUAUUCCGUAAAUAAUUUAAAGUUUAAAUUCUGCA